ACCCUGUUCUCUGUUCUUGGUGGACACUUGAAUCCUGCUCAGCAUUUACUCUCUCAGGCUCGAUGGGUGGGUGUGGGUGCUGUGUCUUAAGGCAAAGAUGCUCACAGUAUGGUCUGCAACUCCAUUCUGCUCCCUGAACUGCAUCUUACUGGUCCAGAAGGGAGCACAUGGUCUUGAGGCUCCACGUGCUGAGGGCAUCGUCGAUGGACUUGGCCAGCGAUUGCACCUGCUCAGUGAAGGAGUCCUCCAGCUCGGGAGAUGCGGCGGGGCAGGCGGCUCUCCAGCAAUGAGUUGCGGAUCUUCUCGAAGUUCUUGCUGAGCUGGUACUGGCGGAAGGCGGUUUGGAUAGUGCGAGCGGCGCGCCGGGACACGAGGUGGCCACCGUACUUGUGUUCUAGCAUUUCAAUCUGCAGCAAGGACAGGGGGACAAAGAGAGCAGUUACAGAAGGGCAGCCCUUCCAAAAGCUAGGCCUGGUGGCUAUCCAUCAGUGCAGUUACCUGGAUACUACCCUUUGGCGAGGCCCAGGAAUGCACACCUGGGGCCCUGGAAACUCCUGCCAGAGAUAACAGAUCCUUGCCAAGACUCCUAGUGGUGCAGGUAUGUGACUGGAUUCUGGGGACUGGUGAUGUCCCGGUGGCAGGGGACAGAGGUAUUGUUUAUGGUAGUUAGAUAUUGCUGCUGGGAUGGUGAUGUUCACAUCACAGAUGCAUACAGAAGUAUUUAUGGAUGAGGUGCAUGCUCUCUUAAAUUUAUAUUAAAAUACUCCUUCCAGAAAAGUGGAAGGGCUGGAUGAAACAAUAUUACUAAAAAUCACUGGAGCUGGGUGAUGAUUAUAUGGCAGUUUAGUACACUGUUCCUUCUCCUUGUGUGUACACUUAAAAUAAUAAAAAAUGAAACAGAAAUGCUU